rnacentral:rRNA from 1 species
AGAAUCAACGCUGGCGGCGUGCCUAACACAUGCAAGUCGAACGAGAAAGUGGAGCAAUCCAUGAGUAAAGUGGCGACCGGGUGAGUAACACGUGACUAACCUACCUUCAAGUGGGGGAUAACCUCGGGAAACCUGGGCUAAUACCGCAUAAUACCUUCGGGUCAAAGGAGCAAUUCGCUUAAGGAGGGGGUCGCGGCCGAUUAGUUAGUUGGCGGGGUAAUGGCCCACCAAGACUGUGAUCGGUAUCC